rnacentral:rRNA from 3 species
UCUCCGUUGGUGAACCGCGGAG